UACGUAGGGGGCAAGCGUUGUCCGGAUUUAUUGGGCGUAAAGAGCGUGUAGGCGGCCGUACAGGUCAGCUGUGAAAACUCGAGGCUCAACCUCGAGACGUCGGUUGAAACCGUACGGCUAGAGUCCGGAAGAGGAGAGUGGAAUUCCCGGUGUAGCGGUGAAAAUGCGCAGAUAUCGGGAAGAACACCCGUGGCGAAGGCGGCUCUCUGGGACGGUACUGACGCUGAGACGCGAAAGCGUGGGGAGCGAACAGG
rnacentral:rRNA from 1 species